AACGAACGCUGGCGGCGCGCUUAACACAUGCAAGUCGAACGAGAAGGCGUAGCAAUACGCUUGUACAGUGGCGAACGGGUGAGUAAUACGUGGGCGACCUACCCUCGAGUGGGGAAUAACCCGCCGAAAGGCGGGCUAAUGCCGCGUACGCUUCCAUCUUUAUGGAGGUGGAAGGAAAGCCGUGCCGUGGGCACGGCGCUCAAGGAUGGGCUCACGUCCUAUCAGCUUGUUGGUAGGGAACGCCUACCAAGGCUCCGACGGGUAGCUGGUCUGAGAGGACGAUCAGCCACACUGGCACUGCGACACGGGCCAGACU
rnacentral:rRNA from 1 species